CCAGAAACAAGAGGCGUUAGGUGUCCAGGCCGACGCCUGUCAUAUGAAGCACAUGUCACGUGCUCUUUUCUUGUGGACCGAUAGACCCCACGUGCAGCGGAUCCCCUCAACAACAAUGCAGUUGAGCUGAAACGUCACCCCUCUGGGUUGUAUGACACCCCGCACCCAACUCACGGGACAAUCCAGCAUAGUGUCAAGUCAGAGCGUUUUCCAUGUCGGUGAAGUUACAUCACCAAACGUGCCUCGGGACGUCCGCUUGCAUAAUGCCAGCGGCCCCCACCCCACCGUCUACCGGGGGGAAGAGGAUGCCAGGAGGAAGAGGAAGGUGUAUCCUACAUGUCAGCUGCUUACUGAUCAAGAGCUCAAGUCUUCUUCUACGACGGGGAGUGAUUCAACGUAUUGCAGCAGCGCCCUCCUCUGGCCCGUUGGAACAUGGCCGCACACAUGCACACACGCGCGCGCACGUUUAAUGUUGUACCAUCCAUAUUUUAAUCUUAGUAAUUAGUGUCUGUUGUUAUAUUAUUCGAGAUUGUAAUCUUAGUAAUGAUUGUUGGUUGUUAUUCUAUUAAAUAUUAUAAUCUUAGUAAUUAGUGUCCUCAGCUCAAUGUUUUUCUUUUACAGGCCACAACUUGACCGUUUUGGUUCUCUCUCAAUGCUCUCAUCAACCUUGUUACAACCACUCUACCAAAAACAAUUAUAUUUUCUCUGCAAUAUUCUCUAUUUCAUCUUUAAAUAACAUAUUUGGUGUGCGGUUGUUUGAUUGGCGUCAUCUUGUAAUUAAACGUGUCUGUCUAAAUGCGUUGCUCA